rnacentral:lncRNA from 1 species
CAUGGUUCUAAGCCUAAUCCUCUCUGGUCCUGCCAUAUCCUUGGGGUUGGGAAGAUUCAGAAGUACAGUAUCCCUAAACACAUCAAAGGAUUUCCUUUGUUUAAUCAAUAUCAUCUAUUACACUUUGGGUAUGAAAGUUCAAGCCAGUGACAGAUGAACGCAGGCAAUAGAUUAAGCAAUCCUGCAGUGCUGUGAAUACCGGUAGGGUCCUGGAACACCAUGGAUGUCAUCAAUAGGUCAUAGAUCCCUGCGGAGGCCUUAGUGAUAACUGGUAUCAUACCAACCAGGGUAUCAUACUGAGUGUUACGAAGGACAGUGAUCUGGUGAACAGAUAGUGUCUUAUUUGCUUUUGGGGGGGGUAUAUACAUUUAAUUUCUUAUCUUUACUAAUAAUUCUCUGAGAACAGUCUCAGACUCUUACUUGAUAUCAGCAAUUCUGCAAAGAGUUGAACCAUGAAACAUAAAGAGAAGAAAAAACACCAGAAGAAGAAACUCUUAAAACGACCCGUGAAAAGGGGUACAAGAGGAAAGUUGGAUUUACAAGAUGUUCUGCAGGGUAGAGCCAAGGUACUGGCCCAUACUCAAGGCCACAAAGUGGCGGAUAGUUCUUCCUCAACCUCAGGGGACUUCUCCUAUGAAGACAAAUUCUUGGAUGCAGAUGACCUUAGAAUCCAGGAGCCAGUCAGGAGAUAAAUUUGUACAAGUUCAUUCUCAAAGGCCUGAGGUGGAACAGAGGUGGAGCAGACCCUGUUGGUUCAACAACUGAAUAAAUGACCACUUUUCUCCAAAACUGCCCAGGUUCUGUUUCCAAAACUCACCAUGUUCAUUUUUCUAUCUCCCAAAAGUUUAUUUGAAAAAUGAAGGGUGAGGGGGUAAGAGGAAAACCAGCUCUGUAGAGCAAACGUGAGCCAAAAAAAGAAAAGAUAAAAAGAGCAAAAAUUAAAAAUACACCCUGGGUUUGGGAAACCCAGGGUGGGCUACUGUGAAGAGUAAAGAUAGCAAGCUCCUCCCGGUUUCUGGUCUUCCUCAUGAUGUCCAUAUCUUGUGGAGCUCAUAGGAAGUUCUACAUAUGGGGUCCAGAGAAUCAUCUGGCACUGCCCUGGAGUCUUGUAAUUUACAGGUCCCUCCCACUUCUCUAGUCAGUUUGCCACGUUCUACCACCUAUAUCAGAAGGUUAAAGAUCCAAUAGAAAUGUGGAACCACAUUUCUGAAAGAUGAAUUGGGAUCAAGUCUAUAAAGUCUUCAUUUGAAUGCUUACCUGUGCCAUGCCCAGUUCCUAGAGAACCAUCUAACAAUUUGUAUCUUUGCAUGCAGGUCCAUCUUUUAUUCAUAUUCACAUCAACCCUUCCAUGUAUAUGACUCUACAUUCACCAAAAUAAAUGAGUCAACAUUCACAAUUCCUCAUGAAACUUGUACUCCACAGCCUUCACUGGCACAAUUUAUUACCAGGAAAUUGAGCCAAUAAAAAUCGCAACAGUAAUAAUAAUAUCUAACCACUAGUGAACGUAUAUCAUAUUUUAAACAUAUUUGAGUUCCCAAUAUGCUGUAUACAUCUCUAAAAAUAUAUAGAAGAUACCCAAUCCCAGUG